GCCGGAGUGGUGAAAUAGGCAGACACGCUGGAUUCAAAAUCCAGUGGGGGUGACCCCGUGUCGGUUCGAAUCCGACCUCCGGUA
rnacentral:tRNA from 1 species